rnacentral:piRNA from 1 species
UGUCAGAUCUUAUCUGAUGUGAUACAACUA